GCUCCGUAGGUGAACCUGCGGAAGGAUCAUUAUUGUAUAACCGAGGUGCGAGGGCUGUCGCUGACCCGAAAGGUCGUGCACGCCCGAGUGCCCUCACACACAUCCAUCUCACCCCUAUGUGCACCACCGCGUGGGUCCCCCUUUGGCUUGUUCGGAGGGGGGCUUACGUUUUCACACAAACUUUGUAUGCAGUGUAGAAUGUAUUUUUUGUUUUUGCGAUCACGCAAUCAAUACAACUUUCAACAACGGAUCUCUUGGCUCUC
rnacentral:misc_RNA from 1 species